rnacentral:lncRNA from 1 species
AUUGUCGCAGGUGACUUUACGUUGAUGAGGUUGGCAGUCUGUGUGGUUACUGGUAGGAGACUGUGGUCUCCAAAGCGAGAAUUUUGACUCAGGUCUUAGAACAAUGUUUCGUAUUCGCUCUUGGUGAGCAGGUUGACGUUGUUGGAUAGUUGGAGUUUUUCGUUUCAGUCUACGAAAAUAGACUCUAGAUUAAAAUGGUUGUCUCGUGACUUUUCUACGUGAACUUGCGACGUAGUCGAAUCGGUUACGGCUAUGCAGACCAAGGUAGAGUGGACCUAAAUUUCUAAAUGUUGAUUAUUUAUCUCAGAAUUGGCGAUUUAGGAUCUGAUAAUCGCGGGACUGUCUUUGUCCGCAAGUUAUAGGAUGGUAUUGAUCCCGAUGAGUUUUGGUCUGUAGAUUUUGGGUUGGUACGUUUUCCCUCGAUUUGUCCUGGUGGAACCGCAGUCCUAUUUUUCCCUUCUACGGAGGUUGAUAUAUUCAGAUGUAAUUGACCAGUACUCAAAGGUGGUAUCACAGUGGUGGAAGUAUUAUCUGAAUUCGAUUUCGGUGGGUAUGUGGUCAAGUUUCGGGGACGAAACUUCUUUUAAGGGGGGGAUAAUGUAAGGACUGAGAUUUUGAUAGUGCAAUUAGAUUCACUGUUGAUGAUGUUUAUGUGUGUAAUUUAAUUACAUAAGCAUUCGUCAAGUUUCAGGAGAAAAUGAGUUAGAACGGAGAAGUUACGCGAUUAUUAGUUUUCACUUAAGUGAAUAGUAACUCCGGUUUUCCGGAGAAGCCACGGAGUAGAGUUGGCUUUCGGCGCGUAUCAGACUUCGUUCAUAGCGAUCCAAUAGCUCGUUUCGAUCGGUUCAGCUAUUCUGGAACUACUGGCAUUGACGGAUUUUGAGUUUGACCCACGGAUUUCGAGAAAAUCCAAAAAUACGUGUUUUAUAUGUAUUUUGUGCGUAGUUUCUUCUGUUGGAGAGAGGAACGGAUUUCGUUGCGAAUCCGUGAUCGUUCGAGGUGAACCAAAAUCGUAGCUUUGUUGUCUCUGAGGUGCUGAUCGUACUGGUGCGAUCCGUUCGCAAAUCUGACGGACGGAUCUGCGGAGAUCGCGCGUUGAUCGAGGAGAGGUCGGUGUUGGUAAAACGAUAUUUUUCGCAAAAGUCGCGACAUUUUAUGUACCGUUUCGCGUGAAAUCGCACGUGGAGGGGUAUUCGCGCGUUUUA